AGAACGAACGCUGGCGGCAUGCCUAACACAUGCAAGUCGAACGAGACCUUCGGGUCUAGUGGCGCACGGGUGCGUAACGCGUGGGAAUCUGCCCUUCGGUUCGGAAUAACAGUUAGAAAUGACUGCUAAUACCGGAUAAUGACGUAAGUCCAAAGAUUUAUCGCCGAAGGAUGAGCCCGCGUAAGAUUAGCUAGUUGGUGAGGUAAAGGCUCACCAAGGCUACGAUCUUUAGCUGGUCUGAGAGGAUGAUCAGCCACACUGGGACUGAGACACGGCCCAGACUCCUACGGGAGGCAGCAGUGGGGAAUAUUGGACAAUGGGCGAAAGCCUGAUCCAGCAAUGCCGCGUGAGUGAUGAAGGCCUUAGGUUGUAAAGCUCUUUUACCGGGAUGAUAAUGACAGUACCGGAGAAGUAAGCUCCGGCUAACUCCGUGCCAGCAGCCGC
rnacentral:rRNA from 1 species